UCGCUAGUAAUCGCGAAUCAGCAAUGUCGCGGUGAAUACGUUCUCGGGUCUUGUACACACCGCCCGUCACACCACGAGAGUUGGUUGCACCUGAAGUAGCAGGCCUAACCGUAAGGAGGGAUGCUCCGAGGGUGUGAUUAGCGAUUGGGGUGAAGUCGUAACAAGGUAUCCGUACGGGAACGUGCGGAUGGAUCACCUCCUUUCUAAGGAGAAUAUGUCUUUCUCUAUUCUAUUGGUAAUGUUCUUCAGCACAAUGCUGUUGAGGUUACUUCUGAACAUUGGAAACUAUAUAGUAGAACAAACAAGAAAAAAAUU
rnacentral:misc_RNA from 1 species